UACGUAGGCGGCGAGCGUUGUCCGGAUUUACUGGGCGUAAAGGGAGCGUAGGCGGACUUUUAAGUGAGAUGUGAAAUACUCGGGCUCAACUUGAGUGCUGCAUUUCAAACUGGAAGUCUGGAGUGCAGGAGAGGAGAAUGGAAUUCCUAGUGUAGCGGUGAAAUGCGUAGAGAUUAGGAAGAACACCAGUGGCGAAGGCGAUUCUCUGGACUGUAACUGACGCUGAGGCUCGAAAGCGUGGGGAGCAAACAGG
rnacentral:rRNA from 1 species